rnacentral:snoRNA from 1 species
GGAUCGAUGAUGACUCCCCCGUAUGCAUUCCUUGGAAAUCUGAACAAAAUGAGUGAGAACUCACUACCGUCGUUCUCAUCGAAACUGAGGUCC